CUAGUUUUUGAGACAAAAAUACCUGCAGGAAUAAAACUACACUUCUCCGAACUUGAAUUGUAAAUCUAUUAAUUGGUAAUAGCUAAAGCUAGCUAGGGUCACGUUUUUGCAAGCUGCGCAUGUGCACCUGAAUAGGCUCGUCUCGAGUCGCGUGGAGUUUUUACUUUUCCUCAGAAGACGUCGACGGUAAAGUAAACAUACAGGAGGUGAUGUGAAUCACCAAUGCUACAUCUACACUGAGGGGAAGAAAAGACUGUUCUAGCCAUUGUUUUUUAAAUCUGUCAUGCAUUGGUGGUUCAGUGGUAGAAUUCUCGCCUGCCACGCGGGGGCCAGCCGUAUAUACCUGUAACACGGAACAGCCAAUCAAAUUGCAGCUACUGCAGCAUA